GAUGAUGUCCAAUCUGUCAGAGUGUGAUGACAGCACUACUGAGAAGAUUGUGCAGUGCGUCAGAGGGACAUACUCACACCAUCAAAAAAGUUCAGGCAUUCAUGGGCCCUGCAUUGAUGGUGUGCUCCUGAAAGGGCCUCCUGAAGAGGUUUUGAAGAACAAGGAGUUCCUGAAGGUUCCUAUGGUUGUAGAGGUGGUCAACCAUGAAUUUGGAUGGGUUAUGUCUCAGGCAAGCUCACUGGAUUUUAUAUCUUGUUGUGAGAUUUUCUUUAAGACAACAUUAUUGUGGUCAUCAGACCAGAUUACUGUACCUGUAUCACAUUUCAGAUAUCUUCACCUCUGUUGCAGUCUAACUGUUGUUUCUGAUGCCAUAGUUUUAUUUUAUGCACCUUUGGGUUCUGUUGAUGGCAUGGAGAAGCAGUCUGUGGAAUCCGUGAUGGACAUUUUCUUCUUAUGUCUCCCAAUGGGCUGUGGUUGGUGGAGUGGACUCCCCUUUGACCACACUGAGAGUUAACUGAACCUGGGCUUGGAGCAGACAGUGGGCCUGGGACUGAAGCAGAACAGGUCCCACUUCCUGAAUGUAGUCCUGCCCCGAAACUCUCAAUCCACCAGACAGCCAAUGAGGAGCUCUAAAUCUCUGGGCUUUACCAUAUAUGGACCCUUCAAUUAACACAUGAUCAACAAUUAAUUUGGUAACACUUUGGCUACAGUACAUUCUGAAAUCCAUUGUAAUAUUGAAUACAUAAUGUAAACUUUCACUGCUAUGCGGAUGACACACAGCUGUACAUUUCAAUGAAACAUGGUG